rnacentral:lncRNA from 1 species
GCAGAGAACCAGAAAGUAAGCAUAAAGGUGAGAAACAACUGAAUGCUGUUCUUUGGCUUAGUUCAAUUUGUAGAGAUAGUGCUCAUUUUAACUCUGGCUGUCACUCUUUGGGAGCUGACAUUACUAAUACAAUCACGUUGCAUUGUAUUAUUCUGAUGUUGCUUAAAUAAUUUCUAAUCUACAGUUGUUUACAGAUAAUGGAAAUCCUUUCCAGAGCUAAAGAGCUUUUAUUUGAAAUUUAAAAAUACAUACAAAUUCAUAAAAGAUGGUUUCAACCUAGCACAUGUAGCUGGGAUCCUAAUUGAAAAGUAACGUAAAAUCUGUAUAUAUUAUUGAGUUUUGAUAUUCUCCAAUCAAGGAGAAGAGAUAAGAGAGUGGAGGAGUGCAGUGAUGUGGCAAUGUCUGUGACAGCAGCGGGAUAGGUCACAAUGGGGGGGAAUGUGUCAGGAGGCUAUAAAAGAGGCAGUGCUGUGGCCUGGGCCUUUGCUUAUGGCAUGCACCUGCUAGUGGCUGUGGCUUGGGUGGUCUUCAUCACUCAAGGAGCUGGUAAGCUUUUCACUUUUAAGAAGGAAGAAGAAAGUUGUCUCAGUAAAUAUUGGAUGAAAGCCAUUAGGGUUUGCUUUAUUGCUAUUACCAACAUUAUGUUAACUGAAGAACUAAAAUAAAUUAUUAAAGCCAUAAUUCAAAAGUGUCCAUUGUAGUUCAAUGCUUACAAACUGGCAUCUUGACAGUGUUAUUAUGUGUUGAGCUUCAAGGAUAUCGCGUAAAUAUAACGAAGAAUGUAAUAAAACUGUUCUUUGGAAACCUGAAGAAACA